AGUGAACGCUGGCGGCAGGCCUAACACAUGCAAGUCGAACGGCAGCACAGUAAGAGCUUGCUCUUACGGGUGGCGAGUGGCGGACGGGUGAGGAAUACAUCGGAAUCUACUCUUUCGUGGGGGAUAACGUAGGGAAACUUACGCUAAUACCGCAUACGACCUACGGGUGAAAGCAGGGGAGCUUCGGACCUUGCGCGACUGAAUGAGCCGAUGUCGGAUUAGCUAGUUGGCGGGGUAAAGGCCCACCAAGGCGACGAUCCGUAGCUGGUCUGAGAGGAUGAUCAGCCACACUGGAACUGAGACACGGUCCAGACUCCUACGGGAGGCAGCAGUGGGGAAUAUUGGACAAUGGGCGCAAGCCUGAUCCAGCCAUACCGCGUGGGUGAAGAAGGCCUUCGGGUUGUAAAGCCCUUUUGUUGGGAAAGAAAAGCAGCAGGUUAAUACCCCGCUGUUCUGACGGUACCCAAAGAAUAAGCACCGGCUAACUUCGUG
rnacentral:rRNA from 1 species